CGUUGAUUUGGUUAAUGCUAUAUUUGAUCAUGGAUCUCACAGCCAAGGUGAAGUUUUAGACGCGAGAUUUGUUAAUUUUUAUAAAGAUAGACAAGAUGAGCGAUGAAAAGAUUUGGUCAUUUGGAUAUGGCAGUAAUAUGGACGUGCAUGCUCUAGAAACCACGAAAAGGGUUAAAGUACUAGACCAUAUAGCCGCCAUUUUAACGGGUUGGAGAUUAGCUUUUAACUUGUCAGGGUUGUUGCUUGUUGAGCCAGCAUUCGCUAACGUUAUUCCGUCAGAAUCAACCGAUGAAGUACACGGUGUUGCCUUUUGCAUCAGUAAAGAGUCUAUGGCAAAUAUGGAUAGAAUUGAAACGGGAUAUAAUAAAGCUAAGAUUACACUCAAGGCGUAUGAUGGUCGAACUUUAAGUGGAUUCGUUUACGUUAACAAACCUUCAGCAACGACGUCAGAUGAAAGAAACCCGUCCAAGAGAUAUAUGGAUAUACUUAUUAAAGGCGCCAAACUAGCUGGUUUAAAGCCAUCUUAUAUUGAUAAACUACGAACGAUAGAGACCUACGCACCAUCAAGUGAAAUAUUACAAACAAGAUCUUCACUUCCUGAACCGGACGACCUACCUCAAAUAACAGUAGAAGAAUUAGCCAAAUAUAAUGGGACAGACUCCAAUUUUCCAAGUAGAAUAGCCGUUUUGGGAUACAUUUUGCAACCAAAGUCGGUGUAUGUUCAAUCUCAUAGAGGAAGAGAAACUUCGGCGCAUAUCCUGAUGCUGUUCCACGGUGUUCUUGCUCUAGGUGAAAAUGUGGGCGAAGGUCUGCCACCGUAUCCAAUCGUGGACAAGUUAUCGCAAGAGGAGAAAGAAUACGUGUAUCGUUGGUUAGAUCAUUACUUAUCUAGUAGCAAAACGCCAUUAGGUUAUCUCUCAGAAUUUAGAGAACAGCAAAAAUCUGGUGUUAGCUCAUGGAGUUUACCACGAAAUUAAUUAGUCUACGUCAGUAGCGUAACACCUUUUUUUAGAACUUGAGAAUCUUUGGUUUUAUACUUUCAUUAUUUAGAUAUUUUUGAUAUUUUUAUUAUUUAGAUAUUGUUUGAUAUGUGCCCGCCUUAAUGUCAAAUAAAUAGAUGAAACUUA